rnacentral:rRNA from 1 species
UGCAAGUCGAACGCUUCUUUUUCCACCGGAGCUUGCUCCACCGGAAAAAGAGGAGUGGCGAACGGGUGAGUAACACGUGGGUAACCUGCCCAUCAGAAGGGGAUAACACUUGGAAACAGGUGCUAAUACCGUAUAACAAUCAAAACCGCAUGGUUUUGAUUUGAAAGGCGCUUUCGGGUGUCGCUGAUGGAUGGACCCGCGGUGCAUUAGCUAGUUGGUGAGGUAACGGCUCACCAAGGCCACGAUGCAUAGCCGACCUGAGAGGGUGAUCGGCCACAUUGGGACUGAGACACGGCCCAAACUCCUACGGGAGGCAGCAGUAGGGAAUCUUCGGCAAUGGACGAAAGUCUGACCGAGCAACGCCGCGUGAGUGAAGAAGGUUUUCGGAUCGUAAAACUCUGUUGUUAGAGAAGAACAAGGAUGAGAGUAACUGUUCAUCCCUUGACGGUAUCUAACCAGAAAGCCACGGCUAACUACGUGCCAGCAGCCGCGGUAAUACGUAGGUGGCAAGCGUUGUCCGGAUUU